rnacentral:rRNA from 1 species
UGCUCGUACCCAUAACCGCAUCAGGUCUCCAAGGUUAGCAGCCUCUGGUCUAUAGGGCAAAGUAGGUACGGGAAGUCGGCAAAAUAGAUCCGUAACCUUGGGAAAAGGAUUGGCUCUGAGGAUUGGGUGCAAGGGUCCUUGCUUCGAUGUUCGAGCUGAGCAGAAGCUACGUCCUGCCUUCGGUGGGGAGUGGAUUCGCGCACGGUAAGCAUAGCCGGGCAAGGAAUGUUCUUCGAGAGUGUCCUUGCACGAUGAACGGUCGACUCAGAACUGGAGCGGACAAGGGGGUCCGGCU